rnacentral:rRNA from 1 species
AGCAGUAGCCGCGGGAAAACAGAGGGUGCGAGCGUUAAUCGGAUUUACUGGGCGUAAAGCGUGCGUAGGCGGCUUUUUAAGUCGGAUGUGAAAUCCCUGAGCUUAACUUAGGAAUUGCAUUCGAUACUGGGAAGCUAGAGUAUGGGAGAGGAUGGUAGAAUUCCAGGUGUAGCGGUGAAAUGCGUAGAGAUCUGGAGGAAUACCGAUGGCGAAGGCAGCCAUCUGGCCUAAUACUGACGCUGAGGUACGAAAGCAUGGGGAGCAAACAGGAUUAGAUACCCGUGUAGUCCCUGUCUCUUAUAA